rnacentral:misc_RNA from 1 species
GAUGAAGAACGUAGCGAAAUGCGAUACGUAAUGUGAAUUGCAGAAUUCAGUGAAUCAUCGAAUCUUUGAACGCACAUUGCGCCUGCCAGCACUCUGGCAGGCAUGCCUGUUCGAGCGUCAUUUCAACCAUCAAGCCCUAGGCUUGCGUUGGAGCCCUGCGGCUGCCGCAGGCCCCUAAAAGCAGUGGCGGGCUCGCUAUCACACCGAGUGCAGUAGAUUACUCUUCGCUCAGGGCGUGUGGCGGGUUCCAGCCGUGAAACCCCCUACUUCUCAAGGUUGACCUCGGAUCAGGUAGGAAUACCCGCUGAACUUAAGCAUAUCAAUAAGCGGAGA